rnacentral:lncRNA from 1 species
UGUCUUGCUAAUGCGAUAAGAUUCACGCCUCCACGCGUUAUUAAGUUCCCUAUGGUCUACAAAAUGAAUUCAACAUAUGGUAGUUAGUGAAUAUCAACAGCCACUGCAUGUGGCAAAAUUUUGUCUACAACUCAUGGAGAUGACAUUGGCACAAAAUAUAAGAAAACAGUUCCACAAGUUAAAUGCCGCAAAUAUUAUUCAUCAACAUGUAGGUAAACAAAUUACCAGAUUUCGACAAGCAGGGCUGUUGAACCUCUAUAUCUAACACAAUGUCUUGGAUUUUUUUCAUAUGCUUAGCUGCACGACUUUGUGUUUGGUCAGGUUCCUUUGAUAUAUGACUUAGAUCGAUGGAUCUGAUGUCGUCUGCAACAUGUCAAAAUCAUUAAACACAAAGACCAUAAUGUUUGUCGCACCACCUGUAUAUCAGGUCAGAAUCGAUGUUAGAUAAGCAUCCAUGGGUAAUACCAGUUAGCUUUGUCAGACCAUCGUUAUCUUCGUUUGGAGGUUCACCGCCUAUAGGUUACCAAUAUGACAAAAUUGAUACAUGUUGUAAAUGAAACUGACCUUUAUUAAGUGCACUAUUGGAAAUUUAAAUAAGUAUGAGUUGGUACCAAUAGUAUUUCUGCCAGCUACAUUCGUGCGCCAAUCAAGACUUGGAUAUUUGGAACCCAACAAUGAAUCAUCAUGAUGGUCUUUAAUCCGUUGCGAACUUGUGCCACCUGUAGAGUUGUACCCAGUAAAAAAAGUAAAUCAAAUAUAUUAAGGUAUUUGUAAUGCGGCUGAGCGAGUACCACCUUCAUUUAUACUAAAAUCCAAAUUCUUUAUGUUCGGAUCGGUGAAUAAAGCCUCAUUAUGCUCUCCAUCCGGAAACGACAAUGUUAAAUCUGUAGAGUAAUAACCAUCAUGAAUAUAAGGACAAUGAUAUAAACGUCGUAUCUACAUGGCAACAUUACCAACAAUAUUCACACAAGCAAUAUCCCCACCAUUUUGAACUAUGGGUAAGAUGCUUGCAUUGUUAUCUUCAACUAUUGUAGAGCUUGUAAGGCCUGAAAAGCAUUAUGAUGUAGUUUUGUGAAUAUCAGAAAUGCACAGAACUCAUGUGUAGCACAUUAUGAUAGCUAGAAGCAUGCCCGUAUAAUUAACUUCAACAGUUAUCAAGCUUUUAAGGCCUGCAAAAGAUGAUAAUAAAAGCUUGCGAAUAACAUAGAAAUGCAGCAUACCCGUAGUAACGCCCUCUUCUGGUUGCUGAUCAACCGCCUUGCUUCUUGAAUUACCCAUAAGGACCUAUGCAAUUACACACAACUUACAAUUAAUGACCUCUGCCUGCUGUGAAGUAAGGAUGAGGAUUCAUUUGACUGCUCGUGCGUUGACAAUAUAGUAGCCGUCCUCAAAAUAAAAUAUAGGGAUUACUGAUGUUCUAUAUCAUUUAACUGCUGUAGUGGCAAUGACAAUAUGGUAAUCAUUUAUGGUGUGCUGGCAUGAGUCUAUAGAAUCAUUGUGUUCUCAGCAUAGCAAUUGCCACCAGAGCAUUGUAAUUACUGAACAGGUAGUGUGCAUUGUCUAAAGAGUAUGAGAACAAUAUAGUUGGUAGUUGGUACGUCUGCAAUGUCAGGCCAAGUUUUAUUUCCCAUUCAAAAUGGUGGUUCAUUUGGUAGGAUCAAGUUUUUUCACCUUAUUAUUGUUUAUGGUCAGACUGUAGGUGGACUGAAUCAAUUUCAACCAUCUGAUGAACAUCUGGCAUACAAACAUGACUAUUUCCUGUUGGCAUAGAAACCUUAACCGUUGCAUGGAAACUAUCGGGCAAGUGUCAUAACUACCUUAUGUUUGUGUCACUUUUUGCAUGUGAUGCUGUUUCGGGGCUGGAAACUGGAGAUCCUCUGAAGUUGUGAGCUGCAAACUCGAUGCACUUGCCAGAUGCUGCUGCUGAUGACACCGUACUCGAGGGCCGUCACCAGCCCCAAACUUAAAUGACUGUUGCCACUUGAUGCUUAUACUGACACUGGCAAUGAGAUGAUUCACCACCUGCACGAAUUAGGGGCUGACAAAGUGAGAAAAACAGGUGCGUCUACGUUGAUACAUUGAUGAAUGGUUUUAUUUCCAAUUCAAAACGGUGGUUCAUCUGGGAGGGUCAAGUUUUUUCACCUUGUUAUUGUAUAUAGUCAGACUGUAGUUCGACUCAAUCAAUUUCAACCAUGUUUCACAUCACCUGGAAUAGAAACAUUGACUAUUUACUGUUGGCAUAAGAUCCUUAACAGUUGCAUGGAAACUAUUGGAUUCAAGUGUCAUAACUACCUUAUGUUUGUGUCACUGUUUGCAUGUGAUGCUGUUUUGGGGCUGGAAACUGGAGAUCCUCUGAAGUUGUGAGCUGCAAACUCGAUGCACUUGCCAGAUGCUGCUGCUGAUGACACCGUCCC